AUAUAAGCAAAUUUUACUUUCUAGGUUCAUUCAAUUAAUGAUGUAUGUGGUUCAUAAUAUGGACCACAAUACCACAUACAUCAUUAAUUGAAUGAACCUAAAAAGUAAAAUUUGCUUAUAU
rfam:Medicago truncatula strain A17 chromosome 8, whole genome shotgun sequence.